AUCGACUGAUGGAAGAAGGAAGGAGGAAGAAAAGAUGGAGAGUUCUUCCCGAUGAAGAAUUGGACGUUUGGCCGAGUCGGAGCGAGGUCCCUGUGACGUUGAGCCCCUGGAUUGCAGAGCGGGAAACCCUGCGGCAGAAACACUUUGGGGAAAAUGGCCGCCGAUGCUGGGUAGAGAAAUGUCGGAAAACUCUGAGCUACCGUUUGAAACUCAGACAGGAAACUCUUCCUGAAGCUUUAGUGAAGCUCCAAAAGCAGUUUUUACUAAUACAAGCUUUUCCACACUGCG